GAAACACAAUAUGUCGUUUUACUUCUUUUUUUUAACCUGUGAAAAUGGUACAAAAAUUAGAAAAUAAAAAUAAUAAUCCUGACUAUCAUUUAAGCAGUGUCAUGCAGGCCCAAUCACUUUCCUUUCUUCGUGUUUAAACGUUUGCCUGAUUUUUUAGCCUUUAAAAAAGAUUUACAAAUAACAAUUUCGCCGUCUACAGGAAACUGCUGAGCGUUAAUAUUAAGUGCAAUUACAAAUAACAAGGCAAAAUACUCAAAACAACCUAUUAAAAAAGUGUCAUCUGCAGAUCCUUCGAGAAAAGAUGUUGUAACUUAAACACGUGGGUGGAGCGGGUGUGCAGGACAGCACGCUUCUCUCAAUCAUUUUAAAUAAUCCACCAACGUCAGAUUAGCACCAUGAAGAAGGUGAACCGUGAGGGAAGCGAGUGGGAUCCAUCGCUACACACACCGUGGAGCUGAGAUGAGGACACUCCAUGACAAGAAGAAGAGCUAACUAGGAGACCAAGAAAAAUCAGUUCUGAAGCGUUUCCGCUAGAUAGUUCCCCGUUAAGUGUAGAUAAAGCUAGCUUGUCGAUCCAAGAAAGACAAUGAAUCAACACAGCAGAGAGAAUGCCGUUAGCUGGAGGGGAGACUGGACUAGCCAGCGCGCUAGCUCACAGGAUAAAGGUCCGAGCACAAACUCAGCUCAACCGCAGCUGGAUACACUGAACACACCAAAUUACGCU